rnacentral:rRNA from 1 species
AUGGCUGGCGGCGGCGGGUUCCUCGACCUGGAGCGGCACUUCGCCUUCUACGGCGCGUACCACAGCAACCCGGUCAACGUCUUCAUCCACGCGCUCUUCGUCUGGCCCAUCUUCCUCACCGCCCUCCUGCUCCUCCACCUCGCCGCCCCGUUCCCGCGCGCCGCCGCGGUCUUCACCGCCGUCUACGGGGCCUUCUACGUCUCCCUCGACCGCCGCUCCGGCGCGCUCGCCGCCCUGCUCUGCCUCCUCUGCUGGGCCGCCAGCUCCGCCCUCGCCGCCCGACUCGGCUUCUCUGUCGGAUGGAAGGUGGUAUUGGUAGCUCAGCUGUUCUGUUGGACUAUGCAAUUCAUUGGCCAUGGAGUUUUUGAGAAGCGGGCACCUGCUCUAAUUGACAAUCUUGUCCAGGCUUUGAUGAUGGCCCCAUAUUUCGUGCUUCUAGAGAUUCUCCACAAGUUUGCUGCGUACGAACCAUAUCCUGGCUUCCAUGCCAAUGUGCAGAAGCUGAUUGACGCCAAACGCAAGGAGUGGGCGGACAAGAAAGCAAAGAAGAUGUCCUGA